UACGUAGGGGGCAAGCGUUGUUCGGAAUUACUGGGCGUAAAGGGCUCGUAGGCGGCCAACUAAGUCAGACGUGAAAUCCCUCGGCUUAACCGGGGAACUGCGUCUGAUACUGGAUGGCUUGAGGUUGGGAGAGGGAUGCGGAAUUCCAGGUGUAGCGGUGAAAUGCGUAGAUAUCUGGAGGAACACCGGUGGCGAAGGCGGCAUCCUGGACCAAUUCUGACGCUGAGGAGCGAAAGCCAGGGGAGCAAAUGGG
rnacentral:rRNA from 1 species